AUGGCGUGAAGACUGCGGUAGUGUGGAGAAUGACCACGAGGUCCCAGCCUUGAGGCUGCGGAUGGAGAGUAGGGGGACACGCCUAAAAACUGCAGCGCGGUGAGCUAGCUGUAGACCACCGCAGACCCAGGCGCAUUCGCAUCAGCGCGUGCGCAGGUGCAUCCACUCUCGCUUCAAACCCGCAUUUUCUAGAUGUAGAAGCGUGAAGAUCGAAUAUUUCCCAAGGUCACACAUUGAGUUAAUGACGGGGCUCGGACUGUCUCCUGGACCCCCAAGCUUUCAGGGAAGGCGGCUACAUUCACAGCCAAAAGGGCCAUUGAAGGGUGGCUGCUGCGGUGCUCAGUUGACCUGGAAGUAACACCGAGAGGGAGUCACCAGCACUGCGAUUAUAGAUAGACGCGGCUGUGCAGCGGUCCCGCCUGGCUGCGCCAGCUGAGGAGCAAUCCCAAAGCCCUGGGGUCUCAACUCUGAACCCGGUAAUCUGAGCCUGCCUUUCUCACCUAAUGGGUUCCUCGCUCAGCUUCUGUUUCUGAGCCAGAUCUUUGCAAGGUAGCUGAUUAAAAACUCGUGUUUAUGAUUCUCUACGUGAAAAGGCCUUUCCUCUCGGAUUUCUCUUAGCGGAAGAGCUUUGGAACAGCGUGACUAGAAAUCACCCUGAAACCUGGACCGCCUGGGGAUCCAGCCUGUUGGUCCAGGAUCAGCUUUCCUUUCCUGCAUUUUGCCUCAUUGUCCCCACAGGACUUGUCUUUGGGUAUACGGUGCUUCGCAUUUUACAUUUUUGCAAAGAGCUGCGGUGUGUGUGUGUGUGUGUGUGUGUGUGCGUGUGCGUGUGAAAUAUUGACAACAGCCUCGUCUUUACAUUCAUCUUUGAACUUAAAAAAAGGCGGGGGGUGGGGUGGGGGGAGGGUUAAUUUCAUAUAACUCGAAGGAAGAGCUACUAGAAAGCAAAAUCUGCCGGGUGCCCAGCGUUUGUUUUUGCCUCUUUAUUUUAGACUCCUCUCCCUCUAUAUCAACACCAGCCCCGAAAAAUUUAAGGCAAUGUAUUUCAUGAUCUUUACAUACCAAUUAAUUUUAAUGAUGCAUUAACCUUCAAAGGACAUGUGGAGAAGUGUCUCUGUGCAAAAAUCAAAACCAACAUUUGUUUCAUACAGGGAGGGAUCUAAACAGUCACAAGGAUGUGUGAUUUUACAAAUGUCAGGUUAUUUUCAAGGGCAAAUCCCCAACUGUGCAUUUAUUGUUCACAAAGGGUCAUUGUUUUAAGCAACUGAAGAGGUUGGCUAGAACGGAGAUUUUUUUUCAUAAAUACGUAGUAAAAUUUAAAAAUGCUGUUUUCCUUAAUGAAAAAAUGUAUUUUGACCCCCCCCUUUUUUUUUUGAAAUUACGGGAUAUUAGUUCAGGAUUUUGCCCGUAGCUAGCCUGUAUUCACCACUAAAGUGCAGUUCACCACCCCCACAGCAGAGAUGUCCUCCGUUUCCUAGGCAACACACAUUUUGCCACUGAAUGAACAGAAUUGAAAGAAAGACUGCAAAGACUGCAGGUCCCUGGUUAUUUCUUCCCCCACCCCAUCCGCCCUACUCAUUGCUAGAAAUCGUUAGAAAUAUUGGGAAGUUGUCAUUCCUAACAUUUAUGUAAAAUAGCCAAGUGCCCAGAAAACUGGACUUAGAAAGUGGUUGCAGCCACAUAUAGUAGCUAUGGGUGGGCACUUCCAAAGGGCUCCUGGGCUGUCUUGGUUCAUCCUGCCUAGGGUUCACCCUCCGGUUCUCUCCUUUCUCUCCCUUCCCUCGUAGAAAUGAGUGGCUAUUGUGCUGCACAGCACUGUCCAGAGCUCUAGAAUGAAGGCACUACUUGGGUGGGAGACUUGGAGCCCCCUGUCCUCCUGCUGCGGUGGGAUUCUGUAAGGGAUCGGCCACUUAGGCAAUGAAAGACUGGGAUCUGCAGAGAAAAUUCCGCAUCUUGAAUGCAGCAGGGGCAUGCGGGAGCUGGCACCUAAGUCUUUGUUUCUCAUUGGAGCUGGUUGUUUUCCCAUGGCCAGUGCUCAUGAAUUUGAAUUUUAAAAGCCUACAUCCCGUCAUCAAGCCUUUCACAAAAGAGGGUUGUCUUCCUUGUCACACAAAUCAGCAGGAGAAGGGGAACCCCUGGCUUUCCAGGACAUCGGUUCCCUUUCAUGGGCUGCAUCCCCUCCUCCAAUCCCUAGCAAAGAUUUUUUUUUUUUUUUUUUUUUUAAGAUUCUUCAACCUGAAGCACGGAGAAGCACAGGAAUGUUCACAGUGCAGCCUGAUAAACUGCAUUUUCAUAGUAUAGAGUCCUCCUUGGCUGAAUACAGAAUCAGGAGUACUCAGUCGGAGGCAUGCUAGAACACUGACAGUCUGCCUGUGUAAGGUGCUGUCUGUGGAAGCCAUCAGUGUGAAAAUGGGUCCCUUUUUAAAUGGUAGAGUACACAGCAGAAGACAGAAUGGGGGAGCCAUUUUAAGUGAAGGAGGCAGAUUGCCGUAGUAUCAGUGUGACCGUAGGCUGCCACCCACAUUGUUCCACGAGCAGCUGCUGCUUGGCAGUGUCUCCAGAGCUCACGCUCUCUCCAAAAUCUACCACAGACCUUUGCUUGUCAUUUAAAUAAAAUGAGACUGUACGUACAUGCUAACCUUCUGCUCUUUGCCCGAGGGAGCAUGCACCAGAACCUCUCAGUAAAUCAGUCUCUGCUUCAUGUCCCAGUUGGUGGCUACUCAUAAUCACAGCCUGUUUAAAAUAUAUAUAUAUAUGUGCACGAAGAGGCUAUCUGAGAGAAUUUGAUGCUCCUCCUUUUAAGGUAGCUUUUUGAAAAGGAAACUUAUCAGAAGGUUUAGUCUGGUAUGCAUAUUGUGUUGAGGUUUGGUCUGUUGCUAUGUAUUAUAAAGCUGAAUUCUAUACCAGAAGACCUAGGCCUACAAAUUCUCACUUACCAGCCUUUGUUACGCAUGCCCUGCUCCUUAAUUUAAGUAUCUAUUGUAAUGCUAAAUAUUGGCCCUGGUUACCUCUGGGA